UACGUAGGGUGCGAGCGUUUGUCCGGAAUUAUUGGGCGUAAAGGGCUCGUAGGCGGUUUGUCGCGUCGGGAGUGAAAUCCACUGGCUUAACUGGUGGCUUGCUUUCGAUACGGGCAGACUGGAGGUAUGCAGGGGAGAACGGAAUUCCUGGUGUAGCGGUGAAAUGCGCAGAUAUCAGGAGGAACACCGGUGGCGAAGGCGGCCAUCUGGACGGUAACUGACGCUGAGACGCGAAAGCGUGGGGAGCAAACAGG
rnacentral:rRNA from 1 species